rnacentral:rRNA from 1 species
GAUGAACGCUGGCGGCGUGCCUAAUACAUGCAAGUCGAGCGAACGGACGAGAAGCUUGCUUCUCUAAUGUUAGCGGCGGACGGGUGAGUAACACGUGGAUAACCUACCUAUAAGACUGGGAUAACUUCGGGAAACCGUAGCUAAUACCGGAUAAUAUUUUGAACCGCAUGGUUCAAAAGUGAAAGACGGUCUUGCUGUCACUUAUAGAUGGAUCCGCGCUGCAUUAGCUAGUUGGUAAGGUAACGGCUUACCAAGGCAACGAUGCAUAGCCGACCUGAGAGGGUGAUAGGCCACACGGGAACUGAGACACGGUCCAGACUCCUGCGGGAGGCAGCAGUAGGGAAUCUUCCGCAAUGGGCGAAAGCCUGACGGAGCAACGCCGCGUGAGUGAUGAAGGUCUUCGGAUCGUAAAACUCUGUUAUUAGGGAAGAACAUAUGUGUAAGUAACUGUGCACAUCUUGACGGUACCUAAUCAGAAAGCCACGGCUAACUACGUG